UUAUUUAUUUUUGAGAGAGAGAGAGAGGGACAGAGUGUGAGUGGGGGAGGGGCAGAGAGAGAGAGACACAGAAUCCAAAGCAGGCUCCAGACUCUGAGCUGUGAGCACAGAGCCCCACGUGGGGCUCAAACUCACGAACCGCGAGAUCAUGCCCUGGGCCGAAGUCGGACACUUACCUGCCUGACUGAACCACCCAGACGCCCCAAUAUUUUAUUUUUUUAAAGUGAUCUCUACACUCAGUGUGGGGGGUCGAACUCACAACCCAGAGAUCAAGAGUCACGUGCUCUACCGACUCAGCCAGCCAGGUGCCCCCUUACCCUACAACUUUUAAAAUAGUGGUAUAAAUUCAUAAUUUUAAGAUUAAUGAUACGAGUUCUGACAAAUAUUUACAAGUGUGUAACCACCACCACAGUCAAGAUGUGGAACAUUUUCAUUGCCCCAAAGCAUUCCCUCGAGCCCCUUUGUAGUCAAUCUCUUCUUCCCAACCCUGGCCCCUGGCAGCUACCGGUAUACUUCCUACCACUAUAGUUUUGCCUCUUCUGGAAAUUUCAUGUGAAUAGAAUCAUACAGUAGGUGAUCUUUGGUAUCUGGCUUCCUUCACCGAACAUAAUGUCUGUGAGGUUUAUUUGUGAUGAGUAUGCUGGCAUUUCUUUCCUUUUUACUUGUCAGUAGCAUUCCGUUGUGUGGGUGUUCCAGUUUGAUGGGCCUGCUAAUGGCCGUUCGGCUUGUUUCUGGUUUUUGACUAUUAUUAAUAAAGUUGCUAUGUGCAUUCUCAUACAA